rnacentral:pre_miRNA from 1 species
GAGGCCCAUCUGCGGCUGGGUGCAGAAUGCUUGCCUCGUUGCUGGGGCAGCAAAGCAAGCAUUCCGCCAGGCCGCUCACGCUGCCCGC